GAUGAACGCUGGCGGCGUGCUUAACACAUGCAAGUCGAACGUGAGGAAGCAGCAAUGUUUCUGAAAGUGGCGGACGGGUGAGUAACACGUGGGUGACCUGCCUUGUAGUGGGGGAUAACCAUGGGAAACUGUGGCUAAUACCGCAUGGUCUUGAUGGGAGUGGAUUCCAUCAGGUAAAGCUUUAGUGCUACGAGAGGGGCCUGCGGUCGAUUAGGUAGUUGGUGAGGUAAUGGCUCACCAAGCCGAUGAUCGAUAGCUGGUCUGAGAGGACGAUCAGCCACACGGGAACUGAGAGACGGUCCCGACUCCUACGGGGGGCAGCAGUGAGGAAUAUUGGGCAAUGGGCGCAAGCCUGACCCAGCAACGCCGCGUGAAGGAUGAAGGCCCUUGGGUUGUAAACUUCUUUUGCAGGGGAAGAGAGCGGACGGUACCCUGAGAAUAAGU
rnacentral:rRNA from 1 species